GACGAACGCUGGCGGCGUGCUUAACACAUGCAAGUCGAACGAUGACGACCGAGCUUGCUCGGUCUGAUUAGUGGCGAACGGGUGAGUAACACGUGAGCAACCUGCCCUUCACUCUGGGAUAACCUCGGGAAAUCGGGGCUAAUACCGGAUAUGAGCUCCUGUCGCGUGGCGGGUGUUGGAAAGCUUUUCGGCGACGGAUGGGCUCGCGGCCUAUCAGUUUGUUGGUGAGGUAGUGGCUCACCAAGGCGAUGACGGGUAGCCGGCCUGAGAGGGCGACCGGCCACGCUGGGACUGAGACACGGCCCAGACUCCUACGGGAGGCAGCAGUGGGGAAUAUUGCACAAUGGGCGAAAGCCUGAUGCAGCGACGCCGCGUGAGGGAUGACGGCCUUCGGGUUGUAAACCUCUUUCAGCAGGGAAGAAGCGAAAGUGACGGUACCUGCAGAAGAAGCGCCGGCUAACUACGUG
rnacentral:rRNA from 1 species